rnacentral:misc_RNA from 1 species
GGAAAAUCGAGUUCCCACACCCGCUCGCCAAAGCAACGUCCGUCAGCGGCACAGCGGGAGAUCGGCCUCUUCCUCGCUCAUUAGGACACCGGAGGGAAGCAGAGCAUCCGCCGCGAUCUCUCAGUGGACGAGGCCCGCCGGCGUGCCAUCCUCGCCGCAUUUCCAGCCGAGGGAGCAGACGUCCGCGUCCUCGCCUCGUCUUGGGUGUAGUCGAGGGUCUCUGCAAAAUCCAGUAAGCGGGCGACGAGCUGCAACGUGCGAGCGGGGGCGAGCCGUUGUGGGAGCUCCCCUACAGAGAAGAUGUACAGAAGAAGCCAAGUUGCUCUUGGGCGCGGUCGAGGAGCACCACCUCCUCCAGUGCACAGUCGACGAGCUGCUGCGGGAGAGCCAGGCGAGCGGUCAUGGGAGCUCCUCUGGAGAAGAUGAACAGGAGAUCCGCCUCCUCAUGCGCAUGAUGAGCUGG